rnacentral:lncRNA from 1 species
AGACAGUGCCGUAGAGCCAAGGGAGAUUAUCCAGACCCCCAGGAGCAAACGGCAGGCAGCGACCGCAGGCACAAGUGCCAGGAUUACAGACCAGGCUCCUCCGCCGCGAGCCCUUCCUCGGACCGCACCAUGGGGAUGGGACUCCCCCGCCAGCAUCGCACCACUCGGACUUCCAGCACUUUUCCCCCCUUUAGACAUCAUUCUGCCGCAGUGGAGCCAGCACAACGGAUGCUUUCACACCCUGCGAGACAAAGGCCGUCGUCUCCGCCAUGACACCGCUCUCUUCCAAGCCGAGGCCGGCAUCUUGGAGUCUUUGAAAAUAAAUGGAAAAGGGAAAUGCGAACAAUAAACACAGCAAUCGAAAAAACCUCAUCAACAAACCCCUUGUGCCCGCUCUCCAUGCCAGGGGCAACAUGGGCAUCUGUCGCAGCAGAAGGCGUUUGUGUGGGGCUUGCUUUUUUUUUUUUUUUGGCUUUUUUUUUCCCCGCAAGCUGUUGGUGUGUUUUGCCAUUCAGGUUCGUUUACAAUUAAUGCCAAAAAAACCCCAACCACACCCAGCCCAGUCAACAACAAACAAAAGGGAGUAGUCGACAUGGAGGGAGAAAUGCCCAGAGAAGCUGCAAGAAUGCGAACUACGGCCGAUGCCACAGACAUGCACAAACUUGAAGACAGAGAGAUUUGGAAGGUGCUACUUGUGAAACCCAGGUGGCACUCGGAGGGCGAGCAAGGGAAGGAGCUGUGCGGGUGCUCCACCGGGUCUGGAGGGCGCAGGGGCUUCUGGACAAGGGCGUCAAAGGACAGCUGGCUACUUACGUUGUCUGCGCUGCUGAGGAUCCUGCAAGGUGUUCUGUUGGCACUGGGCGCUGAGCCAGGGAAGGGCACUGGAGACAAAAGGGAGAGACAAAAAAAUAAAGUCAUACAAUGGGAAUAUUAAUUACCUCUCUUGCGGAUUUUACAAAACUCACAAAAUGUUUUCUUUUUGCCUGGUGGUUUUUUUUUUUUUUGUGUGGAUUGGUGCACUUCCCUUCUGCAUGGAAAAUACUAGCAUGGGAUCUACAGCCCAGCUACAGGGCUCGGGAUUAACAGUGCUGGCAUCUUUUGGGCAUAUUUUUUCUUUUAAUGAAUGAGCUUUCGCUGUUAAUGAGGAAUAAUCGUUUGGCUAAUGAGCUUUGAAACAUUAAGAGAAAAGAGUGUUUUUUCCCGUUAAUUGCCCUGGUGCGACCGCAUGGAUGGAUUACAAAAGACAGCAGUAGGAAUGCAGUACAAAGAGGAGAAAUGUCUCCUGAAGUGGGAUAAAUGCAGAGUUGGGUGAUACAUCCCUGCACCUCUCCUUCCUUCGCUCCCUCUUACUCCCUCUCUGCCAACUGCUAUGGUUUUCCAUAACUCCGCAAUCAAAGUGGAUGGUCGGGGAAGAUUAUUAUAGUCAAACAGUGAAGCGUCGGCGGCUAAUGUCUCCAGUGUUUAAUCAUCAUACAGUAGAAUGGUUUUAUGCAUAUUUCAUUUGCAUAUCAUUAAACCACGCUAGCGCGGGACAUUCAGAGCUGGAGAGGUACAAAGUUGGGGGGAGAGAGUGGGAGAGCGAGAACGAGACAGAGGGAGGAAGGUCCCUGUGAUGCGUAUCUUCAAAAGCCAGGGACUUGUUCCAUGAUCUGUCUUCUACUUUUACUAAAAUCAUGAUGACUUGGAAAUCUUUGAAGUUGGAUAUAACCUUGGAUUCUUCUAAUUCCAGCAGAGUGAUGUAUUAGAAAGGGGGGAAUGAUGCUGCGCUAGACAUUUAAAGGAAUAUAAGCUCCAGUGGAAUGGAAAUAGGAGCUCUUUGGGGAAUGAACUAGCAGAGCCAGCCACAGCUUCAACAUCACACUGCUGUGUUCAUGCUGGUGAAGGAUACCAAAGUAAUACAAAAGAAAUGAAGACAGCAUAUACAUUAAGAUGGGGAUUAUAUUUACUCUUUUCCUUUUUAAAGGCACAAAGCAGGAUGGAAC